rnacentral:rRNA from 1 species
AGUGAACGCUGGCGGUAGGCCUAACACAUGCAAGUCGAACGGCAGCACAGUAAGAGCUUGCUCUUACGGGUGGCGAGUGGCGGACGGGUGAGGAAUACAUCGGAAUCUACUUUUUCGUGGGGGAUAACGUAGGGAAACUUACGCUAAUACCGCAUACGACCUACGGGUGAAAGCAGGGGAUCUUCGGACCUUGCGCGAUUGAAUGAGCCGAUGUCGGAUUAGCUAGUUGGCGGGGUAAAGGCCCACCAAGGCGACGAUCCGUAGCUGGUCUGAGAGGAUGAUCGGCCACACUGGAACUGAGACACGGUCCAGACUCCUACGGGAGGCAGCAGUGGGGAAUAUUGGACAAUGGGCGCAAGCCUGAUGCAGCCAUACCGCGUGGGUGAAGAAGGCCUUCGGGUUGUAAAGCCCUUUUGUUGGGAAAGAAAAGCAGCAGGUUAAUACCCCGCUGUUCUGACGGUACCCAAAGAAUAAGCACCGGCUAACUUCGUG